rnacentral:lncRNA from 1 species
CCACACUGACCCCUCGGUCACACUGACUCCUCGGCCACACUGACCCCUCGGCCACACUGACCCAUCUGCUGUGCUGACCCCUUGACCACCCUUUGGCUCCUCAGCCAUGCCAGCCCUUUGGCCAUGCUGAGCCUUCAGCUACACUGACCCCUUGGCCACACUGACCCCUAGGUCACGCUGACCCCUCGGCCACACUGACCCCUCAGCCACACCAGUCCAUCGGCUGUGCCAAGUCCUUGACCACGCCUCAGCCCUCUGGCCAUGCCAGUCCCUCGGCCGUGCCGACCCCUUGACCUUCAGCUCUUUGGCCAUGCCAACCCAUCGGCCUUGACCCCCUCUUGGCCCUUUGGCCACGCCAACCCCUUGGUCUUGACCAACCCUUGGCCGUGCCAACCCCUUGACCAGCCCUUGGGCCUUUGGCUACGCCAAGCCCUCGGCCACACCAACCCCUUGGUCUUGACCACCUCUUGGCCGUGCCAAACCAUCGGCUGUGCCGAGCGCUUGACCACCCCUUUGGGCCUUUGGCCACGCCAACCCAUCGGCCGUGCCGAGCCCUUGACCGCCCUUUUGGGCCUUUGGCCAUGCCAACCCAUCGGCCAUGCUGACCCUUUGACCACCCCUUGGGCCUUUGGCCACGCCAACCCAUCGGCCAUGCUGACCCUUU